AUAGUAAUUAUUUUCCGAGUUAUAUCUUCUAAAGAAUGAUUUCCAUGAAGGUAUCACCGAUGGUUUAUCCAAAAGGGUUUAGUGAGAAAUUGCCAAGCCUCCCGUUUUAGGAAAGGAAAAUACUAUUAGAUACA
rnacentral:ncRNA from 1 species